GGAUCCUGGGAAUUGAGAAGCUUCAGCAGAACUCUGUACUUACUGCUCCGUCACUGGUAAUGACAAUGAACAUCUUCACAAUCUCAGGUUUUAUUGCAAAGUGAUUGAGGACCAGUUAGAAUAAGUUAUGCCACAGAAACUAAAGAAAUCCCGUCAAGCAAAUGGUGUGUCAUAGAAAGUCUUAGGGCAGCCGUGUAUGUUUUCUCCCCCAAUGAAUCAAUUGAAAAUGAGAAGCUGUUACCGCCAUGUUCUGGGCAGAAGCUAUCAGAAGUAUAAGCCAUGAUAUUAUAAUUUGAUGAUUUUUCAUCCGUCAAAUGGAUAUGGCCCAGGGGUGAAAAGUGGAUGCUCCGUAACUAGAUGAUGUUCAAGAGUUAUAAAAAUGAGGUCCUCUAUGUUCAACAUUUCUCCUUUCUUGAAAGGAUACUCAAUGUCAUGCUCAGGGCCUCUAAUGGUCAGAGAUAAAAUUCCUCCCAGUUCCAGAGCACCCCAGGGCAACCCCAUAACCAGAGCAACUGCUUAUUACCACGUAGACUAUGUACUGUGCAAUUCCUGGGGUGGCAUUUUCAUAAAUAUGUGGGUGUCGACCCCUGGAGUUGUGCAAUGCACAUCUUGCACAAAUGGUAAGUCAUCGUAUCCCAAAGUCCACCAAGAAGAGGUAAACAAAAUUCCCAUCGAUGUUGCCAUCAGUCAUGAGUCUGCCUUUUCUUCAUGGGACAGUAGCAAAAACAAUUUGGCCAAGUGUGCUUGGAUAAUCUCUAAGAUGGAAUCAGGGUCUCUCACUUUCAGCACUAUUGACAUUUGGGGCUGGAUCAUUAUUCUGUCUUAGUGGGAGUUGUCCGGGGCAUUGUAGGAUGCUUAGCAGCAUCCCUGGCCUCUACCCAUUAGCUGCCAGUAGCACCACCUCCUCCAGCCGCAACAACCAAAACUGUCUCCAGACAUGGCCACAUGUUCUCUGGGGGGCAAAAUCACCCCCUGGCUGAGAAGCCCUGAAAUAAAGACAUAAUACACAGAUCACAUAUAUGUAAGAGAGCCUAAGGGCCACACAGGUGAUGCUGUACCCAUGACAAAGACAGAGUCUUCAAGAGGUUAGAGAAGUGGAGAAAGAGAAAGGAAAUGAAGUCCCAGCUGCCGAGAGCAACAGAUGCUGACUAGAUGUUGUUGAUAGUCAUCUUUAAACUGAGUUAAAAGAUGCUGAGAAGCCAUCAGCUCCUAUCCUGCUCUCCAGGGACAACGCUGCUGAAAAAGGCCUGGAGAUCAACAAAGCCCCAAACACAGCUGCACUGAGCAAAGAAACCAGAGAUUGAGACAAAAUGACAUUCCCUCAAAGACUACUCAUUUCCAAGAGGGGAGAAAAAGUGGAGUCAUGAAAAACAGUUGAGGCUGCAUAGAGUGACUCACACCUGCAAUCCCAGAACUUUGGGAUUACUCCCAGGCUGAGACGGGAAAAUUGCUUGAACUCAGGAGUUCAAGACCAGUCUGGGCAAAAUAGCAAGACCUUGCCUCUAGAAAAAGGGAAAAAAAAUAGCCAGGUGUGGCGAUACACACCUGUGGUCUCAGCUACACGGGAGGCUGAGGUGGGAGGAUCGCUUGAACCCGGGAGGUAGACGCUGCAGUGAGUCGGGAUUGCACCACUGCACUCCAGCCUGGGCUACAGAUCUUGUCUCAAAAAAGAAAAAAAAUUAAACAAAA
ensembl:lncRNA novel transcript